rnacentral:tRNA from 1 species
CAAAUUAUACUUAGGUUAAUAGUUUUUUACACAAACUAUUUAUUUGUGCAAUUCAAAUUAAUUUGA